AUAUUAUAUGAAAGUAGAAAACAUAAGGAGUCUUCUUGAUAAGAAUGGAAGAGGCACCAAGUUGCUAAGGCAUUGUCACCUUUCUCUAUGUCAUCUAAUCAUAUUUGUUU
rnacentral:ncRNA from 1 species